GAAAAAAUAAUAAUAACUUGCAAACCCAAAGCAGCUUCCCCCAAUCCAUUCCUCUCCUCUCCUCGACUCUCAAACCCUAUAGAACCUCCCCCAAACAGGCGAAGUGGGAUUCAUGAAAUUAGAUGGAUUCAAUCAAUUCAUUCAAGGGGUAUGGUAAAGUUGACGAAGUGGAAGAACUAGCUUUCAGGCGAAAGAAACGAAGGCGUCUUAUCACCCUUAUCAUCCUCAUUCUCCUCCUUUUAACACUCAUCACUGCCGCCGUCGUUGGGAUUUUUUUACACAAGCGAAGCUCCUCCUCCCCCAACACUCUUCCCCCGCCUGUGUUGACUCCAGCCGCUUCACUCAAAGCUGUUUGUAGUGUGACUCAGUACCCGGCUUCCUGCUUCUCCAGCAUAUCUUCCAUUGCUCCCUCGAAUACAACCGUCCCAGAACUCCUCUUCAAGCUGUCUUUGAAAGUAGCCAUCGAUGAGCUCUCCAGUUUGUCUCACUAUCCCACCAAGCUCAAAGCUGAAACUAAUGAUAUCCGACUGAAAUCCGCUUUACAAGUAUGUGAAACUAUGUUCGACGACGCCUUGGAUCGAUUGAAUGAUUCAGCAACUUCCCUUGAAGUUGGAGAAGGAGAGAAGUUGUUGUCAGAUUCCAAGAUCAGUGACUUGAAGACUUGGCUAAGUACUGCUAUAACUGACCAGGAAACAUGUUUAGACUCCCUGGAGGAGUUAAACGCCACAAAGCACUUCAACGCCACAGUUGUUGAAGAAAUGAAAGCUGCCAUGCAAAACUCAACUGAAUAUGCCAGCAACAGUUUGGCUAUAGUUGCCAGAAUCUUAGGUUUAUUGACUGAUUUAAAUAUUCGUAUUCAUAGGAGGUUGCUUGGGUUUGAGAAAGCAGGUUCGGAGUUCCCGGCUUGGGUUAGUCCCACUGAAAGGAGACUAUUGCAGGAAUCCAAGCCUACCCCCAAUGUUAUUGUGGCUCAAGAUGGUUCCGGGAAUGUCUUGACCAUUAAUGAUGCGGUGAAAUUGGUAGGAAAAAAGAAUGAAUCAAGGUUCGUUAUAUAUGUGAAGGAAGGCAAGUAUGUUGAGAAUGUGAUUCUUGAUAAACACAUGUGGAAUGUGAUGAUUUACGGUGAUGGCAAAACAAAGACUUUAAUUUCCGGCAGCCACAACUUUGUUGAUGGAACUCCCACAUUUGCUACAGCUACUUUCGCUGUGGCAGGAAAAGGAUUCAUUGCAAAGGGCAUAGGGUUCAUUAACACAGCUGGUGCAGCAAAGCACCAAGCAGUGGCUAUGCGGUCUGGUUCUGAUCGCUCCGUAUUCUACCGCUGUGCAUUUGAUGCCUACCAGGACACUCUCUAUGCCCAUUCCAAUCGUCAGUUUUACCGGGAAUGUGACAUUUUGGGCACAAUUGACUUCAUUUUUGGGAAUGCAGCAGUUGUUUUCCAAAGUUGCAACAUCCUGCCAAGGCAACCUUUGGCUAACCAGUUCAAUACCAUCACAGCUCAAGGCAAAAAAGACCCUAACCAAAACACUGGCAUUUGCAUCCAGAAAUGCUCAAUAAGUGCAUUUGGCAACCUUACUGCUAAAACCUACCUUGGCAGGCCCUGGAAAGAAUUCUCCACUACUGUUAUCAUGCAGUCAAAGAUUGGGGCGUUCUUGGACCCAGUGGGCUGGAAAGGAUGGGUUGCCAAUGUUGACCCACCUAUCUCAAUCUUCUAUGCAGAAUAUCAGAACAGUGGACCUGGAUCAAACGUGGAUAAUAGGGUGAAAUGGGCUGGUUACAGGUCCACUCUCUCAGACGUUGAUGCUGGGAAGUUCACGGUGGAAACGUUUAUACAAGGCCACGAUUGGCUUCCUAAUGCCACUGUCUCCUAUGAACCUGCUUUAUAAUCCGAUAGCUGAACCCAACUUAGAUAUUUCACUUAUUCCAUAUCAAAGCUACAAUGUCAGAUAACAGCUGAGUAUAUAAUAUUUGGACGCCAUAGUAUAAAUUCCAAAGAAUGAAUCAGGCAGAAGCUAAGAUGUUAGACAUGUGCAGAGUCAAAUAAUUUACUACUUUGGGGAAAGGUUCCUCGUCUAUUGACUAUGAUACAAUAAGGGAAGAGAAUAAGGCAGAGCAAGGAGGAGGUCGAGGUAGGGUAAUGGAAGCCAGUUCACCUGAAGAGGUCGAGAGUUAGGACGAGGAGAGACUGAUCUUGAAGACAAGUGCUCAGAGUAAUUUUAAAGUGCCAAAAUGUCAAUCCCCUAUUAAUUAUUUUCUAGGGUAUUUAUAGGAGAGAUCUACUUAUAUGUUGUGUUGGGAUAUAUAUUUAGCCUGUUAAAUGCGUAAUGGAUAAUCAUUGGCACAUGUCAUGAGACUAUAUCAAUAUGAAGAUGUUAAGCCUAA